rnacentral:rRNA from 1 species
AUACGGAGGACGCGAGCGUUAUUCGGAUUCAUUGGGUUUAAAGGGUGCGCAGGCGGCCGUGCAAGUCAGCGGUGAAAGCCCGGGGCUCAACCCCGGAAGUGCCGUUGAUACUGCAUGGCUGGAAUGCGGUCGAGGCGGGCGGAACGUGGCGGGUAGCGGGGGAAUGCGUAGAUAUGGCCCAGAACGCCGAUAGCGGAGGCAGCUCGCCAGGCCUGCAUUGACGCUCGGGCACGAAAGCGUGGGGAUCGAACAGGAUUAGAUACCCUGGUAGUCCACGCCGUAAACGAUGGGCGCUCGUCGUCGGCGGCAGACAGUCGGCGGCCAAGCGAAAGCGAUAAGCGCCCCACCUGGGGAGUACGGUCGCAAGGCUGAAACUCAAAUGAAUUGACGGGG